rnacentral:lncRNA from 1 species
CUCUGUGGGUGUCCAGAGCGGUCACAGGGAGGGAGUGGCUGCAGGGCACCCCAGUGGUCAGGGGAGGCGGCCAGGUCCGCCCUGGAGCCCAGCCCGGCCCCAGUGCAGCCUGCCAAGGCCUUUGCCGUCGCCCCAGGACUGCCGGAACCGCUGCUGCAACUCUACCACCUGCCAGCUGGCUGAGGGGGCCCAGUGUGCGCACGGUACCUGCUGCCAGGAGUGCAAGCCGGCUGGUGAGCUGUGCCGUCCCAAGAAGGACAUGUGUGACCUCGAGGAGUUCUGUGACGGCCGGCACCCUGAGUGCCCGGAAGACGCCUUCCAGGAGAACGGCACGCCCUGCUCCGGGGGCUACUGCUACAACGGGGCCUGUCCCACACUGGCCCAGCAGUGCCAGGCCUUCUGGGGGCCAGGUGAAGUGGGCACAGAGCUGGCCUGGCAGGGUGGCUGCAGGCCUUGCCAGGGCUAACCCGCUUCUGGUCCCACAGGUGGGCAGGCUGCCGAGGAGUCCUGCUUCUCCUAUGACAUCCUACCAGGCUGCAAGGCCAGCCGGUACAGGGCUGACAUGUGUGGCGUUCUGCAGUGCAAGGGUGGGCAGCAGCCCCUGGGGCGUGCC